GCGAUUGAAUAGGUAAAGUCAAAUCAUAAAGGAUCUUCAUCUUAAUCUCUGAAGUAAGGGUGUCAAACUUUUAAAAGUUUGCACGAUACAAGGAUUGGCGCACUAGCUCUCCAUUCUCUGUAGCUACAUAAUAAUGUCGAGCAAAAGAUAAGCUACUCAAGAAGUUAUUGAAGUUGCUUCCGCAGAAAAACCGGGCUGGAUCGAUGGAGCACGAUUAAGUAUCCUUGAGAGGAAAGUGUGUAAAGGAAUGAUUUUCCUUUGACCUACAUACACAUACGCGCGACUAGGAGGAGGAAUCCUGGACCGUUUCCGGUUGGGUUAACCUCAGCAGUUUUAAGCUCACGAGGGGAAACCUGCACAGUUUUUACGAGCGUAGUUUAUGGAACCACGCCAGCUGGGCUCGCGAUAAACCCAUUGCAGUUACGAAACGUAUACAUGCGCACAUGAAUUCCAGCCUGCCAGAAAAAUGGAGGUAU